AAAAAAAGAGGAUAGAAAAAAGGGGGAUCGGGGAAACAAAAAACAGAGGAAAAUACAUAAAGAAAAUUUGAGGAAAAACGCAGAGGAGGACCAGCUGAAAAUUUGCCAUUCUCUCUAGUCGGCCUCUCUUCCUCAUAACAGCAGCUCAAAACCCUUCUUCCCCCCCGUAAAAACCAGCUCUAAAAGCUUCAGAACCCACCUGAAAUCCAGCCUUAAAGCUUCAACGAAAUAACCUUGAACCACCGAAAAUAUCACCCCAAACCAAUGCGAAAAAUUAGCUCGAAAUCACCAUCCAAAUUUGGUCGGGUUGAGUCGUUCGGGGUUGCAAUUCCGGUUCGAGUUUAUGGUCCGUAGCUCACUUGAGGACUGCUGCUUUUGGAUAUUCCUUUGCACUGUACAUGUUGGAAAAUUUUCACAAAUUAAGGUUUUACCUCGAGGCACAGGGUUCGAUAUGACCAAAAGAAGAAGUCUCAAUCCAGGAUAAAAGAAAAAAAAUGAAUCCAAAAUGCAGAAACAGAUGAAAGAUGUGAACUGCUCAAGACAUGGCUGAAGUCACGAGCACUGCAUUCCCCGUUUUUAUCAGAAAAAGCCGUAGAAGAAUAAACUAGCACCUGCAGCUAGCAAGCAUCAAGGUUCAAAUCAAAAGUCUGCAUGAAGAACCAUCAAGACUCAAGAUCAAGCUUCAGAAGACUUAUAGAUAGGAAUCUUGUAACUCAUAGCUGAUAGGGUUGUUUAGUUCCUUUAGAUUUUGAUUUUGAUGUAAUCACAGGACCACGGACCGGAGCCUCGACGAAACCUUACUCGACUCCUCAACCCAUCAUUCUAUCACUCUCCUUGAACUAUACGCAACACGAUUCCCUUAUGACCCAUGAUAUGUAGGUUGUCCAAAACCAGAACUCAGUUGUACCCUUUCCUUUGAUUAUUUUUCCUUUUGAAUAAAGAUUUGGUCAAAAAUUAGUCACA